GCCAGACUCCUACGGGAGGCAGCAGUGGGGAAUAUUGCACAAUGGGGGGAACCCUGAUGCAGCGACGCCGCGUGAGUGAAGAAGUAUUUCGGUAUGUAAAGCUCUAUCAGCAGGGAAGAAAGAGACGAAAGUCUUGUGACAGUACCUGACUAAGAAGCCCCGGCUAACUACGUGCCAGCAGCCGCGGUAAUACGUAGGGAGCAAGCGUUGUCCGGAAUUACUGGGUGUAAAGGGAGCGUAGGCGGGGAUGCAAGUUGGGUGUCAAAACUACCGGCUCAACCGAUAGUCGCACUCAAAACUGCAACUCUUGAGUGAAGUAGAGGCAGGCGGAAUUCCUAGUGUAGCGGUGAAAUGCGUAGAUAUUAGGAGGAACACCAGUGGCGAAGGCGGCCUGCUGGGCUUUUACUGACGCUGAGGCUCGAAAGUGUGGGGAGCAAACAGGAUUAGAUACCCUUGUAG
rnacentral:rRNA from 1 species